rnacentral:rRNA from 1 species
GUCUACGCUGUAAACGAUGAUCACUCGGUGUUGGGAGUUCGACCCUCUCGGUGCCUAAGUUAACACGAUAAGUGAUCCGCCUGAGAAGUACGGCCGCAAGGUUAAAACUCAAAGGAAUAGACGGGGACCCCACACAAGCGGUGGAGCGUGUGGUUUAAUUCGAUAGUAAGCGAGGAACCUUACCAGGGCUUGACAUCUUCCGAAUCUUCUGGAAACAGAGGAGUGCCGUAAGGAACGGAAUGACAGGUGCUGCAUGGUUGUCGU